UACGUAGGGGGCUAGCGUUGUCCGGAAUCAUUGGGCGUAAAGCGCGCGUAGGCGGCCAGAUAAGUCCGGUGUGAAAGUCACAGGCUCAACCUGUGAAUGCCGCUGGAAACUGUCUGGCUAGAGUCCGGAAGGGGCGAGUGGAAUUCCUGGUGUAGCGGUGAAAUGCGCAGAUAUCAGGAGGAACACCAAUGGCGAAGGCAGCUCGCUGGAACGGUACUGACGCUGAGGCGCGAAAGUGUGGGGAGCGAACAGG
rnacentral:rRNA from 1 species